AUGUCGACCUCCGCCUCCACUUCCUCUACACUUGGGGCCUCCACCACAUCGACGCUCGCGACACAGACCGCCGGGGCCAUGAUCCCGUCCAUCGCGUCGCCGGCGUCCCAAGCCGUCCAUGUCGCCAGCGUCAAGACGCAUGUUCCCAUCGUCCUCGACCUCCAGAAGUCCAACUACGCCAAGUGGCGUAUGCUCAUCAACGUCCUCCUCGGCAAGUACGACCUCACCGACCACAUCUCCGACCUCACGCCGCCGGAUGCCCGCUCAGUGGACUGGCAGCCUCUCGCUCGGAUCAACGCAAAUGGCGACGGCGGUCCACCAGCUCUCCUUCUCCGCGCCGAGCGCGUGCGGCAGACGCGGGCGUCCGCGUCCGCGACGGACCGGCACGAGGUGCUGUCGCCGAAGCGUCGACUGCCGCUGCGGAAGGUGCCGGGCGAGCACGGCCCGCCGUUGCUGGGCGCGCUCAAGGACCGGCUCGAGUACUUACACGGGCCAGCGUCCGCGCGCACUGCUCCACGGUGGGGAACAAGCGUCGAUCCCAGUACGGUGGAUGUGUAUCAAGCUGGAUAUCAGUCCUAUGAGCUCCAUUCAGAUUAUCUUCUCUUUUGUGCUAUCGAGUUGUUUGGGUCUCACUGGAGCAUCUUCCAGCUGUUAACACCUUGGGACCCUGGAGGGAUUGCAUUGUGGCUGUUAUUGAAAUGGACUCGACAAACGGUUUUUCAAGGCGGGCGGGGUGUCAUUGCUAUCAUUGUCAGCUUUCCGCCAGGCUCCGACUUCGGCAACUACAACGACGCCGCCACCUUCGGCUUCCUUUGCCGCGACCCCGUCGACUCGCCGCUCCGCGACGAAGGGCCCAACUCCCAAGCUGAUCGCCAAGUGGGUUCUGUUCCAGCAGCCCGCCUGCUCGGCCUCGGCCUGCCCAACUACGGCCGCCUCGCCGACUUCUUCCGCGACGCCGGCAAGGCGGUGAUCGACGAGGGCGAGCGGCUGGGCAUCGCGCGGGAGGAGGCGGUGCACAACAUCCUCUUCGCCAUGUGCUUCAACUCCUUCGGCAGCAUGAGGGUCCUGUUCCCGUCGCUGGUGAAGUGGCCGGGCCGCGCGCACCCGGCCGCCUCGCGAUGGAGAGCUAUUCUCCGCCGAAAUUUUUCUUCCUUGCUUGUUUGGGAGUCGGUAACAUCCACCGCGCCGGUGUGGGUUGCUCCGGUGAGCCGCACGAAAUCCGUCGCGGGGUUCGACGCCCUUCCGAGCAGGACAACGGCUCCUUCCAAGGCCUCGGCGGCGACGCGGCAAGUUCUCGCCACCAUGGACGAGGGGAACACCAACAUCACCAAGAUGCUGGAGACUCUGCUCGCCAGAAUCGACGACCAGAAGAUGGCGCAAGAGAAACAGAUCGAGCUCCAGGCCGCCUUCAACGUGCAGACCUCGCAGGAGAUGCGCGGCCUCUCGCGGCAGCUUGAUCUGACCCAGGCGGACCUCGACCUCACGCGCAAGACAGUGGAAGGAUCUGCCUCUACGUCAGGCUCGGUCACCACGCAUCUUCACCAGCCCGCGCAACAGCAGCAGCAACCUCCACCGCCCCCUCCUCCUCCCCCGUCGCCGCGCCCCGUACCAGAUCCGGCACGUCCGUCGUCUUCGCACGCGCGUCUGGGCGACCACCGCCCACCUUUCCUUCCCGUGCCACCACAGGGCGGAUUUCUCGCCGCGCCGACUGCGUCUCCGACGGGCCACAACACCAAUGAGUACCACAAGCCCCCGAAGCACGAUUUUCCCAAGUUCGACGGCAUGGCGCCAUAUUUGUGGCUGGACCGUUGCCUCGCCUACUUCGAACUCUACAAGGUGGCUGCCCACCAGUGGGUCGCCACCGCGGCGCUCUACAUCGACGGCCAGGCCGCGCACUGGCUUCAAGCGUUCCGCCAGACGCAUCGCAACAUCACAUGGGACGUCUUCAUGUUGGCGGUCCUGGAGGAGUUUGGCGCCGACGAAUUUGAGGUGGUGAUGCACAAGCUGCUCCAGCUCCGCCAAACAGGCACCGUCGCCGAGUACCGCGCCGCGUUCGACGAGCAGAUGUACCACUUGCUCGCGCUCGAUCCAUCGAUCAACACCAAGUUCUUCGUGACGCAGUUCCUCCUUGGCCUCAAGGACGAGCUGCGUGCCCCGGUGCGUCUUCAGGCACCCUCAAGCAUCACGUGCGCCUCGGUGCUCGCGCGCAUCCAAGAGGAAGAGUUGGGCACGACCCGCGCGCGACCCCGCAUCACACCUGCGGGCCGACCACCACCAACGACAGCCGCCGCGGCACUGCCACAGCGCGCCGUGGCCGCGCCGGUUCGCGCCCAAGGAGACGAGUACGCGCAGGAGCGGCAACUACACGAUUUCCAUCGCGCGAACAAUCUCUGUUUCAAGUGCGGCGAUCGCUACUCCAGGGAGCAUCGCUGCGCUCAACCCGCGCAACUGCUCACAAUCAACGUGGGAGACCAUGGGAAGGUGCUCUCGGACGACACCAUCCAUGCCCUGCAGCUGCUCGACGACCCGGGCCCGGUGGCGCAACCCCCUGCCUUGGCCGCGAACGCACCAGAGUGUUGCCUUCUCUCGUCGCAGGCGCUCGACGGCACGGACUCGGCGAUGACGAUCAGGUUGCGCGCCUUGGUGGGAAACCAAGUCAUGCUCCUGCUGCUCGACUCGGGCAGCACCCACAGUUUCGUCAACAAGGCGUUCGUCGAUCGCCUCGGCCUCACCACGGAGGAAAUGCCGUCGACCGAGGUGCGAGUGGCCAACGGCGACAAACUCACCUGCAACCGCAUCACGCCCAUACGUGAGCUGGAGAUUGGCGCGUACGACGGCAUUUUGGGCAUGGACUGGCUCGCCCAGCACAGCCCCAUGACAUGCCACUGGCAAGACAAGCGGGUGAAAUUUCUGUACGACGGCGAAAAGGUCACGCUCCACGGUGUUCCAACCAAACCAGCCACCACGCUCAAGGCGGUCAGUCCCGAGGAGCUGCGCAGGAUGAUCGCCGGCAACGAUGUCUGGGCCAUGGCCAUGGUGGACACCUGCGGCCCUCCAGCGCGCCAGGGUACGCCCUUCAAGGCCCUCUACGGCAAGGAAGCAAAUCUGGGCGCAAUGGCGUCCUGGGAGGCAUCGACAGCCGCCGGCGAGGAGAUGGACUGGCCGGCGCACAACGCGCACAUACACGCCCAGUUGGAGCGCGCGCAGCGCCGAUUCAAGAAGAACGCGGAUCGCAACCGCACCGAGCGCCACUUCCAGGCAGCGUAUCAAGUGCUGCUCAAGCUCCAGCCUUACGCGCAGCGCUCGGUGGUCAAUCGCCCGUGCGCCAAGCUGGCGUUCAAGUUCUUCGGGCCCUACAAGAUCGUCGAGAAGAUCGGCUCGCUCGCGUACAAGCUCGACCUGCCACCAGAGAGCCAGAUCCACCCCGUCUUCCACGUCUCACAAUUGAAGCCCUUCACACCUGACUUCACGCCGGUGUACAGCGAAGUGCCCAAGGUGUCCGACCUCUCCACCACCGGCCUCUCUCCCACUCGCAUCCUGGACCGGCGCAUGAUGAAGCUGGGGAACGCGCCGGUGGUACAGAUCAAGGUUCAAUGGGGAGCGGGGGACUCUGCACCAACGACGUGGGAGAAUUACGACGUUCUUCGUCAGCGCUUUCCAUCUGCGGAGCUCUGGGAGGAAGAAGACGCGGGCGACGACGUUGAAGACGAAGAUGACGACGCCCAGUCUUAA
rnacentral:rRNA from 1 species